ACUACCCAACAACAAAUAAAACUAAUGUAUUAUGGCGGUAACAACACUAAUUAAAGGAACUUAUUCUGUAAUCGACACUACCCGCUAACUCUCACUUACGUAAAAAGCUUAUAUACCCCCGUCCAGAUAAAUUUGAAAAACUACAUCAAACACAAAUAACUCUAAAAGUCAGGCCAAGGUGUAGCCUUCACCUAAUGAACGAACAAGUUACAUUAAACUAAAAUUUAAGGCUCUCACAAUAAAAACAAUAAGAAAAAAAGGAUUUAAACGUAAAUAGGAAUUAAAAAUUCCUGUAAAAUAACAAACCACGUUACGC
rnacentral:rRNA from 1 species